CGUACGCAGCCGUCGCUCUUUAAAGCGCCCGCGCGGGGCCGCGUCUUGCCGGCCGACCCGCCACCGUCCGGCAUGAGGGGUUGGGGUGUUGCUGUCACCUCCUGCUCGCUCAAGCACCAUGGAACGCCUGCGGAGCCUGAGCCGGCUCCUGCCCCGGCGCACGCUGUGCGCUCUGGCCCAGGGCCUGACGCCUGGGGCGCGCCCAAUUGCCGCCUGCGGCCGCGCGGCCCACAUCCUCGGGCGGAGCCGGGCCGCGCCGCUGUGCGGGCCCCGCCGGCCCCCAGUGGCAGGUGAAAUGCACCGGCUUAGAACUUCUGAUGUCUCUCAAGCCACUUUAGCCAGCGUAGCCCCGGUCUUUACUGUGACAAAAUUUGACAAAGAGGGAAACGUUACUUCUUUUGAAAAGAAGAAAACUGACUUAUAUCAAGAAUUAGGUCUUCAAGCCAGAGAUUUGAGGUUUCAGCAUGUGAUGAGCAUCACAACAAGAAACAAUAGAAUUAUCAUGAGAAUGGAGUAUUUGAAAGCUGUGAUAACUCCAGAGUGUCUUCUGAUACUAGAUUAUCGUAAUUUAAAUUUAGAGCAAUGGCUAUUCCGGGAACUCCCCUCACAGUUGGCUGGAGAAGGACAACUUGUCACAUACCCUUUACCUUUUGAGUUCAGGGCUAUAGAAGCACUCCUACAAUAUUGGAUCAGCACUCUUCAGGGGAAACUUAGUGUUUUGCAACCACUGAUCCUUGAGACAUUGGAAGCUUUAGUGGAUCCCAAACAUUCCUCUGUAGACAGAAGCAAACUGCACAUCUUGCUACAAAAUGGCAAAAGUCUGUCAGAGUUAGAAACCGAUAUCAAAAUUUUCAAAGAGUCCAUUUUGGAGAUCUUGGAUGAAGAAGAGAGGCUGGAGGAGCUCUGUCUAACAAAGUGGAGUGACCCACAAGUCUUUGAAAAGAGCAGUGCAGGAAUCGACCAUGCAGAAGAGAUGGAAUUGCUGUUGGAAAACUACUACCGAUUAGCUGAGGAUCUUUCCAAUGCAGCUCGGGAACUCAGGGCACUGAUUGAUGAUUCACAGAGUAUCAUAUUCAUCAAUCUGGACAGCCACCGUAAUGUGAUGAUGAGGCUGAACCUGCAGUUGACCAUGGGAACCUUCUCUCUUUCACUCUUUGGACUAAUGGGAGUUGCUUUUGGAAUGAAUCUAGAAUCUUCUCUUGAAGAGGACCAUAGGGUGUUUUGGCUGAUUACAGGAAUUAUGUUUAUGGGAAGUGGCCUCAUCUGGAGGCGUCUGCUGUCAUUCCUCGGACGACAGCUCGAAGCUCCUUUGCCUCCUGUGAUGGCCUCUUUACCCAAAAAAACCCUUCAGGCAGACAGAAGCAUGGAAAUGAAACACAGCUUCCGGCCAGAUGGACCCGGAUCAAGCAGGAGUGUCCUGACAACCCGGUAGAGACUGGACUAUUUUUUUAUAGUAGUCACGAGAAACUUCUGAUACCUUUAUUUUCUUUUAUAGAAUCAGAGACUUGAAAAAAAUCACUGAUACUUAAAUUAUAAUGUCUGAUAAAAAUAUUAGGGCACUCACAGUACUAGAACUUAAUUGCAAAGUACUUGCUUUGUAAAAGGCCAAAAUUCUAUCUUCCACAAACUGAAAAAGCUGUUUUUAGAGACGUGAUGUGAGACAUGGAGAGACUGAUAUAUAUAUAUCAAAAAAAGUACAGCCUCACGCCAAGCAAAGCCUGAAAACUUGAUGAACCCGUGUGAUGAGACCAGGUAGCGGCUCUUAGGAAGUUCCCAAGAACAAGAUUCCCUGUGCUGAGUCUCAGGUGACUGGAAAGAAUCCAUGCUGAGAACUACAGUUAGUGGAGUGAAAACGUAACCACAUAAUGCAUUGGACUCUGUGCCAGGUUGACCUCCGACAGUAGGAAUACAAAUUAGCACUUCUGAAUAUGGCUAAAUGUCCUAUAUAAAAUCCUACACGAAAACUUGCCUCCAACCUUAUACAUUUUAACCUUCUCUGCCUGGUGCUUGCUAUCUGGUAUGUUUAAGCAUUAAGAAGAAUGUAAGUCGUUAAUGAUCGUGUUUCAACACAGGCCCUAUCAGUGAAGCGUGGACGUCUUCCGCGGUGCUGGCAGCGUAAAGGAACCCACGCUUGUAAGGAAAGGUCCAGUACUAGACAGGCAUCCGUUCUGCACUCAGACUUCUCAACUUGUAUUACAGUCAACUAAUUUCUGGGCCCUAAAGAUGAAUUUCCCUUAAACUAAAAAGAAUAAUUCACAUAAGAACUAGCAAUAAUUGUUACCCAAAUGAAACCAAAUGGUAUUUGUGCUUUUUGCUGUUCCCUAGGGAACCAUGCAGAUGGCCUGCCUCUCUUUAGGAAAGGGGACAGUCACAGGACUCCUCCAGAGGUGACUUUGUGUCCUGUUUCCCUGUAUGUACUCACCUGUGCUCACAAUUAACUCUAGUAGCUUUCCCUAGAUUUCUAAUUCAACUUUUACUCUUCUGCUGGACUCCUUCCUUGGACCAGUCUCUACUCUGCCUCUAGAGAAGCUGGGUUCUUGUCAUUACUUCUCCCUGCACUUUUAGUACCUUUCACUAGUGUGCUUCCCUGUUACAGGAUCAGUAGUAAUGGUUUCUCACAUUUUUAGUGAAGCUAAAACCCUGGGGUAGAUCCCUUUCCCUUAACUAUGCCAUACUGCAGGACUGGCGGAUGAAAUCUGCUAAAACCAGCCCAGGAACAAGAGAGACCAAGGCCUGCUUCUCUGCCUGGUCCCUUGCAGUGGCCGCUGGCUCAGGCCAGAUCUCUUCUCUCUACAUAGUUUGUACCAACUCAGUGCGACAGCAGCUCCUCUUGGGAGGUCCUAGAACAAGUGGAAAGUCACUAGACGCCACAGUUAGGACAGCCGCUUCUACAAAAGCAUUUGAGGGCACUAAAAGGUAAGGAGGUUUUAGUCUUGUAUUUAUCCUUCACUAUACAAAACACUGAAAAUGAAAUAAUCCUCCCAAGAAGGGACCAAAUCAGGUACAGCAGGUGCCUUUGCAGUUGUGAGGUUAUCCUUCACCCCCUUACUUUUCACUAUACUAGUUCUCUAAUUUGUUUUCCUAUAUACUACACUAUUUCACUUUGAUUGGAAUGGGUCACCGUUUUUAAAAGGAAAUUUUUAGGAGAAAUUGUGAUAGAGAACCACAGAGAGAGAGGUCUUUCCAGGCAUCAGAAAGACGUAGCUAGUCCUGUGCAGAGGAGAGACAUUGUACAAAGGUUUGAGCACAGGCAGUAAGUCAGGAAUAAGUUUAAAUGCAAGGGAAGCAAGGACUGAAACUCUGGAAGAGGAGGGGACCUGGCUCACCAGAGCCCCUGUCACCGUCUACUGCAUCGUCAUCCCAGACGGAGACAUCUCUAUUCCCAGGAGCCCUGCCCCCAGCAGGAACGCUCCCCCUGGAGAUGACUGGGCACAAGAGACGGACGCAGAGGAGGACAGCCUUUAGUCUAGGCCAAGGCUGUAGACGUGAAGUGCCCCAGAGAGUCGGGCUCCCAAAGAGCUCCUUCCAGCAGCAACGACAACUUGGUUCUGCAGAGGACACAAAACAUUUUGAUGAUUCAUAAUGCCUUUAGUUUCUGCCAUAAUCCAGGCAUCACGUUAUGCUCUGGUGAUGUUGUUUAAAUCCCGCAAAAAAAAACCAAUAGGAUGCAGCCAUUGAAAAGACCCCAACAGCUCCAUGUGUAUUGGUCUGAGAAGAGCCAUCAGAUGCUAUAGAGCACACAGAGGUGACGAGGCCGGGCAGGUAGAGCGCAUGCACGCGUACGUUUACGUGUUUGUCCCGGAAUCUGGACGAAACCGUGCCAGCAUAUUAACAGUGGUUAUCUGCCAUGGUGGGGUUUGCAAACUCUCUGAAAGGGCCAAGAUGAUGAUUACUUCAGGCUGUGGGGGACCUCGGUCUCUGGGACAGCCAAUCGCCCACCAUUGCAUUACAGUAGCUGCCACAGAGACACGGGAGCAGGAAUGUGUUCUGAUAAAACUAGGGACGCUUCAUACAAGUCUCAGGUGUCACCCAGCCACUUAAACUGUAAUAAUCAUUUUUAGCUCAUGGCCUGUACAAAAACUAGUCCCACAGGCUGUAAUUUGCCAGCCCAGCCCUGAGGGUUGAAUGGGAAAGUGAUGAGAUGGUGUAUGGAUGUUACUUCCUUUUUUGUGUUCCUCUUUUUCAAAUACAAUCUUUUAGAUGAAAGACCACCCCCCCCCCCCCAGCCUUUGGACGUUUAUAUCCUAAGGACAGUCUUCAUACCCACCUUGUUUUUCGACCUCACGGUAAUCACGGAGCUCCCAUAUCUUGAACUUGCCUGUAAAGCAGUGUCUGUUAAUGGUCUUUUGAAAACAUACUGUAAUAUCUUAUCAGUUUAAAAUAAGGGAAAGGGUGCACUUCUGUGGUUUCUCUUUCUUCAUUCCUUCAGGAGGUACUUACUUCAGGAGAAAUCAGUACAUACUGAGCCUGAAAGGAAGGGGAGAGAAGGGAGACUUGUGUUACUGUCAAUGCAGGUUUUAACCACUCAUCCUGAAGCCCCACACUCACAUCUACAUUCUGGAGAAGUCCUCAACUCGUGCAUGCCCUUUGACACCAGAAAUUCCACUCACAGGAGUGUAGCUCAAGAAGACAGAUGGACAGAAAUGUUCAUAUAUGGAUACUUAUAUCCUUAUUUAUAACCGUGAAAUGAAAUGGACUGAGGGACUAAUAGUCCCUCAGAUAACGUCUACAUAAACUAUGGUGUGUCCACAGAUAAAACAGGCAGCCAGGAAGUCCACUGUAUGAGAAUAGAAGGCAUGGAGAAAUGUUAACUACGUUGGCAGGGAAGACCAGACCAAGUUACAAAAUUGUGUACAAGAUGAUCACGGCUGUUAAUAAGCCCUAUCCACACACUGGAAUGGUGAAGAGUGUCCUAAAGAAUCAGCUCCUGGUGCAGGGCCCUGGCCUGCCCUCUCCUAGCACCGUGACCUGGUGCGCCUUCCUCACGGACAUUCAAUGUCUUCAUCUGGCACAGUACCCACACAGUAGCUCAGAGGUGGCUUGAAGAAGUAGCAGUGAGGGAGACAGAUCUAUCAAGUGUUAACGCAGCGCCAAGUACAGAGUAAGUGCACAAUAAAUGGGAACCAUUAAGCCGACAGAAAAGCAUACCAGAAGGAUACACCUCAGAAGGUUAACAGAAGGCAUCGUCUCUGCAGAGUGCAAAUCUAGGUAGAGGAUUCGUACCACUUGUAUUUUCUAAAAUUUUUACAAUGAACUGUACUUUUGCAAUUAAAUAAGGUUGUUUAAAUUUAAAAAUGGUGUUUUAGGCCCAGGCAACUUAAAAAAAAAAACCCACCUGAGAAAAGGGAUGAACAGGAAGCAGUGAACAGGAAACAAAAGGGGGGGCGUUUUGAUGGAAUCCCAGGGGGCUGCCGUGGACCCUAACCAAGCAAGGCUCGACCGGAACGAGCAGGACACUACGUCCAACUGGACUUGAGCUACAGUGCAAGCAGAUGUGGAAGAAUGCAGGGCUGCUCGGGCCUAUGCCACACAGGCAAGUGAUUGUGCCCUGGCCGCCAGACAGCUCAGAAACCGUCAGAGUUGCACAGUGGACACGAUGUCACAAGGCAUCCGCAGGUAGCCGCCUUUCCCAGCGUAGCCUAGGAUUCCACACGGGCCCACGUUACCUUUUCCUCAGGACACGGAGCUGCCCAGGAUUUGCAUCUGCCCGUCAUGUCACCAAAGGUGGUCUGUUUGCCAUUGUAGACGUACACCCGGCCAUCUUCCCCUCCCAGCAGCCCGGACGUGAUGUCUGUUAUCCGCAGUGGGGCUGCCACGAGGAUUUCAUCUGCAGACGACAGAAAUCAGAACUGGGUCCUAACCCAACCUCCCGCAAGUCCCAUGAGCGCAUCCCCUAAAUCGUCUACCCGGUUUCAUCCCAGCACAGUCAAGGCUCUGGUCCCCAGUCCAUCAUUCCUGGACAACAACUGACGUGCAUGGCUCUCAUGUUACCACCUUCAAGAAGUAGAACUUUCUCUUGGCUCUGGUCUUACCAAGCUCUAAAAUCUACCUAAAGGCCUUGGGUCACUGAGCUGUCGAUGCUAAGGGCAGAGCCUAGAUGACCCAGUUCGGGGGCCGGUCUGAUGACUGGGGAGCCAGUUCUUGGCCAGAGGCCCUGUUCCUCUCCUACCUAAGCCGUCGCCAUCCAGGUCACUCAAGUGCAGAAUGCCACCAAAUCGGGAGAAGCGGCGGUCUCCGCUGAAGGUGCCGAGCAGAGGCGGCUGCGUGUCCAGCGUCAGUUCAUACAUCCGACCGGUUCCACCCUGGUGCAAGGUCAUGGUCAGGAACGCCAUCUUAGACUUCUCAUCUGAAACAAACCAGGGCAUGGUGUCUGCUGCCAUCACAGGAAUGAAGAGAAAACGUAAAGCACUGAAUGGAGUCCUAUUCUCGCUUCAGUCUUCUGUACCUUGAGUGACACAACUGCUCAGAAUCCCACGGGACUGGGGCGGGGGGCAGGUUAGCGCUGACCAACAGUGGCCAUGAGGAGACCAAACACUGGGUGGGCUCAGUGACGUCCCAUCAGACAGGUCUGGCCCCUGCAAUACAUUCUCCAUACAACUAUCUUUUUUUACAUCACAAACUUCCUGUGAGAUACACAGUCUAAAUUCUUCACGAGGCCUUCCGUGGGCUCAGGAGGCCUUAGAGAAUUGGCUACUUACAGCUCUAGUGUUUGGGGGCCACGUCCCCCUUCUCACCCACACGUCACCCAUCACAGAUUUAAACCACAGCCCCUUCUAUUUCUUAAGUCUGGGCCUCUGAACAUGAUGUGCUGUCUGCCUGGAACCGGCCUCCUUCCCCCACACCCCUCUGCCGGCCGACUCCUGCGCUUCUGGAACGCGGCCCUGCUCUCGCCUCUGCUGCAAAGCCUUCCCUUCCCUCCCGUGUGCGGCCACAACACGCUGUGCCCGCUGCUUCCCGUGCCCCUCGCAGGGGAGCCUCGCUUCUGUUCACCGGGCCUCUCCUGCACCUGGCUGUCAGUUCCAUAAGCAAUGGGACCGUGACUUAGUCCCACAAUGUGCUUAGAAACACGUUGCUUGGUUCAGUGCACGUAUGGGAUGGAUGGUUUUUAAAUGGGUGAAUAUUGAACGGUUUUUAAACAAAGCUAGAAUUUCGCCUAUAUAGAUCAUCUGGAACACAACCUUCAUUUCAGAAAUAAGUACCUUCUCAAAAACAACAAUGGCAUCUGUCGGUUGGGGUUACUGGUCCUGGGAGGCUGACGAUGACCCAGGCAACGCGUCCAUGAACAGGUACAAUCUUGUGUCAGUGUCUUAGUAUUGUGUGUAGAACUGACUACAGUAAAACCUUGGAUUGUAAGUAACUUGUUCUGCGAGUGUUCUGAAAGACUAGCAACCAUUGCUAAUAAGCUUUAACCUGAUCAAUGAGCGAUGUCUUACAAUGAGUCAUAUAUGACCCUGAAUGUCACAUGACCACAGCUGAGCCACUGGUUCUUGAAAUUCGCUUUGAUGUACAAGUGCUUUGGAUUACAAGUGUGUUUCCGGAAUAAAUUAUGCUUGCAAACCAAGGUUGUACUGUAUUUUCUUGGACAGCCUUCCCUCAUGCCCUGUUCAUAGCCAGCUGUCAACUAGAACCAACUGAAAGCUCAAAGCAGAGCCAAGAAUGGCGGUGGGAAUAACAGCGAGGACAAAAAGGAAACAGCCAGCACUUUGAAAGGUUCAGCAAUCUGGGCUCUUGAACAUGAAAGUACAACCUGACCCAGAACAAAUAUUCCCAAGAGGACAGUGUUUCCAUAAACUACAACCGCUAAAAUUCAGGGCAAAAGCCCAAAGUAUGAAGAAACGUCAAAACGAGAGGACAUUCUUAUGCCCUUCUGCUUCCUGAAGGGACUCGAGCUCCCUGGGGUCACAGAACACAGUAAUGCUGGGAGCUCUGGCCACAGGGAGGAGGAUGAAGUGCCUGCCUGCAGGGGCGGGGGACAAAUGUGGCUUCUCCCUCUGGCUCUGCCUGCCUGCAGGGUGGGCAUAUCAUGCUGGUUUUGCUGCCCGCGGGAGGCACACAGACCACAGCCAGGUCUCCUUCUAGCUGCACUCCUGAGUCCACACCUCUGCCGCUCGUACUGCAGGCCAGAUGUGAUGGCCUGCAGACCCAAACUCUCUCUCGGAGAAGUCACCCCAUGGUCACUUUGUGGGCCAAGAUCAGAAAAGCCAGAACGUGGCUGCCCAUCCAGACCACAUUCUCCAACCCAGUUUUUAGAAGACACAUAUUUUGAUAGGAAUGAUUCAUGAGUCCACUUCUCAAAUGGCUCCAAGUGCAGAAGGUUGGGGGAGGGGAAGCAGUGAUUAGCACUUCCAAAACUCUUACUUUUUAUCCUAGUCACAAUUUCAGCACAGUGUUGCUUUCAAUUCUCAGAAUUUGAAAAGGACUCAAAAAUCAGCAAGCCAUGAAGACAUGGGAGAACCUUAAUGCAGAAUAUGCAUAAUGCAUAAAGAAGCCAGUCCGAAAAGGUUGCGUACUAGGAUCCCGACUGUAUGCCAUUGUAGAGAAGGCAAAGCCAUGGAGAGGUAGAAAGAUCACUGGUUCGCCAGGAGGGAAGAUGGAUGAAGAGGUGAGCACAGAGGAUUCCUAGGGCAGUGAAACUAUAAUGGAUACAGGUCCUACGUUUGUCCAAACCCCUGGAAUAUUCAGCACAAAAAGUGAAUUUUAAUAUAAACCAUAACCUGGGUUCUAAUGGUGGGUCCAUGUAGGUCCAUCAGGUAUAACAGAUGCACAGUCUGGUGCAGAAGACACCAGGGCCCACAGUUCAUGUGGGGGGGGGGGCAGGAGGGGGUUACGGGAAAUCUCUGUACUUUCCACUCAAUUUUGUUGUAAACCUAAAACUGCUCUAAAAAAGUCUAUAAAGGAUUCAGAUACUUUAAAUUUUUGGCCAUUCCAAAUACCUCAUUUCUGAUAGAUGGUAACUAGAACUUCCAAGGGUCAUGUCAUAUGUGUAUGUUAUAUACACCUGAAACAUAUUUUUCAAUAAAAUAAAUUUUAAAAUA